rnacentral:rRNA from 1 species
UACGUAGGGUGCAAGCGUUGUCCGGAAUCAUUGGGCGUAAAGAGCGUGUAGGCGGCUCGAUUAGUCCGCUGUAAAAGUCCAGGGCUCAACCCUGGGAUGCCGGUGGAAACUGUCGGGCUAGAGUCCGGGAGAGGCGAGUGGAAUUCCUGGUGUAGCGGUGAAAUGCGCAGAUAUCAGGAAGAACACCCGUGGCGAAGGCGGCUCUCUGGUACGUGACUGACGCUGAGACGCGAAAGCGUGGGGAGCGAACAGG